UUUGUAAUCUGGCACUUUCAGUGUCCGAGUUGUAAUCUCGAGAAGUAUUUUCCGCGCCGGACCGCAUACAAGUCUGUUGGAAUACAGCGUCAUAGUGGUGAGAACCCCGUAACUGAUGCGGAUGCCCGGUGCUUUGUGAUAUACUUUCGAAGAGUCGAGUUGUUUGGGAAUGCAGCUCAAAUUGGGUGGUAAAUUCCAUCUAAAGCUAAAUAUUGGAGCAAGACCGAUAGCGAACAAGUACCGUGAGGGAAAGAUGAAAAGCACUUUGGAAAGAGAGUUAACAGUACGUGAAAUUGUUGGAAGGGAAACGCUUGAAGUCAGACUUGCUAUUCGGAGUUCAGCCGCAAGGUGUAUUCUUCGAUUCGCAGGCCAGCAUCAGUUUUCGGGGGUGGAAAAUCACGGUUUGAAGGUAGCAACCUCGGUUGUGUUAUAGCUUUCCGUUGGAUUCAUCCUUGGGGACUGAGGAACGCAGUACGCUUUUUGCAAGGCUCUCGAGCUUUUCGUACUUAGGAUGCUGGUGGAAUGGCUUUAAACGACCCGUCUU
rnacentral:rRNA from 1 species